CGUGUAGGCGGGUGGGAACGUCGGCCACUGAAAGCCCCCGGCUCAACCGGGGAAGGGGUGCCGAAACGGCCCGCCUGGAGGGACGUAGGGGGACCUGGAACUUCCGGUGGAGCGGUGAAAUGCGUUGAGAUCGGAAGGAACGCCCGUGGCGAAAGCGAGGUCCUGGACGUCAUCUGACGCCGAGACGCGAAAGCUAGGGGAGCGAACG
rnacentral:rRNA from 1 species